GUAUGUAGCUCAGUGACAGAGCGCUUGCCUAGCACACGUGAGGCACUGGGUUCGAUCCUCAGCACCACA
rnacentral:tRNA from 1 species